rnacentral:rRNA from 1 species
UGGGGAAUUUUGCACAAUGGGGGAAACCCUGAUGCAGCGACGCCGCGUGAUUUAGAAGGCCUUCGGGUUGUAAAAAUCUUUUCUAUGGGAAGAAAAUGACAGUACCAUAGGAAUAAGGACCGGCUAAUUACGUGCCAGCAGCCGCGGUAAUACGUAAGGUCCGAGCGUUGUCCGGAAUCAUUGGGCGUAAAGGGUACGUAGGCGGGUAAGCAAGUUAGAAGUGAAAUCCUAUAGCUCAACUAUAGUAAGCUUUUAAAACUGCUCAUCUUGAGGUAUGGAAGGGAAAGUGGAAUUCCUAGUGUAGCGGUGAAAUGCGCAGAUAUUAGGAGGAAUACCGGUGGCGAAGGCGACUUUCUGGCCAUAACCUGACGCUGAGGUACGAAAGCUUGGGUAGCAAACAGG